CAGCACCUCAAGUGGUCAGGAUGAUUAUUGGGCCUAAAGCAUCCGUAGCCGGCUCUGUAAGUUUUCGGUUAAAUCUGUAUGCUCAACAUACAGGCUGCCGGGAAUACUGCAGAGCUAGGGAGUGGGAGAGGUAGACGGUACUCGGUAGGAAGGGGAAAAAUCCUUUGAUCUAUUGAUGACCACCUGUGGCGAAGGCGGUCUACCAGAACACGUCCGACGGUGAGGGAUGAAAGCUGGGGGAGCAAACCGGAUUAGAUACCCGAGUAGUCC
rnacentral:rRNA from 1 species